CCUCAGGUGAUCUGCCCACCUCGGCUUCUCAAAGUGCUGGGAUUACAGGCGUGAGCCACCACGCCCAGCCAUAAGCAUCUUUUCAAAAGGUGGAGGGGGCUAUCAACUGUUAUUUUAAGCAUAGUAAGAGUUCAUCCUACUGCUUUUACAAUGAAUUACUGCAAGAUGUUUAGACAUUGUGAUCUUUUUAUUAUGGUUACUGUUUUCCCUAAAGGUCAAACCAAUAACUUUAGAUCCUGAAGUACAACUCAAGAGUAGAAGCAUCACUUAAUUUAAUACUACUAACUUAAAAGAAUAGCAGAUCUUGCUCAGUGUGGUGGCUCAGGCCUGUAAUCCCAGCACUUUGGAAUGCUGAGACAGGUGGAGCACCUGAGGUCAGGAGACCAGUGUGGCCAACAUGGUAAAACCCUGUCUCUACUAAAAGUGUAAGAAUUAGCCGGGUGUGGUGGCACACACCUGUAAUCGCAGCUACUCAGGAGGCUGAGGCAUGAAAAUUGCUUUAAUACGGUGGGCAGAGGUUGCAGUGGGCCAAGAUUAUGCCACUGCACUCCACCCUGGGUGACACAGUAAGACUCUGUCUCAAAAAAAGAAAAAAGAAUAGUUGUGUAUCUUCAGAUACUUAGAUGUCAUGAGCUGGGACUUUAAUGGGCUAUUUUUUAAAUUUGACAUUAAAAAUUCAGUCCUAAUGCCAGUAAAUAAUUUUCGUUUAAUUCCACAUGUGUUUGGUGUAUUCAUCAAGCACCUUCUGAAUGUUAUUAGACUUUCUAUAUAGUUAACCUUGGAUAUUAUAUGCUGGUUCGGUAGAUGUUUUUGUUUUGUUUUGAUUUGGUUUGGUUUUUUUUUACACACGUCUUUUAGCUUGGUUGAUGUGCCCUCAGCCUGAAAGAUGACAACAUGCUUAUUAGACAACCAGAUUACUUGACACCCUAUGUUUGAGGUCCCGGGUUUAGAUUGGUUAUUAAAUAAGCAUUCAUUAGGUUUUCAAUUAUUUAUAAAAGCUAAAUAUAAAGAGCCACAAACUAUUUCAACAAGUUUAUACAGCCAAAGCAUAUAGAUAAAUGUAUGAAACAAUAUAGUAAAUACAUGAGACCAAAAAUUCUAGUCUUUCAUCACUCUGGAAAUAAACAGAUGUUUUGUGUGUGAUUGUUUCUGAGACUGCAGACAGGUAUUUUUUAUUAUUAACUCCUACCGUGUUCAGUACAUUAUUCAGAAGAUUAGCCAGGAACAGAAAAUGUGCAAUUUAAUUUCCCUUAGGUUCAAGGUAUAAGCUAAACAGAGUCUUUCCCUGCACAAGUUGUCAAAUUGGCUGUUUCACUGGAUAGUAGAUGGGGACAGUGGGAAUCUUGUUUGUUCAUUGAUGGGCGGGCGUCAUUAUUUAGAUAAUGGGGCAUUUGGCUACCUUGAAAGUCAUGUUUACUCCCUGUGUUACCCUCACUUCAUUGAAUUUCUUUACUUUGACUUUUGGAGCUCUGGGCAGAAAUCACAUAUUAGUUUGGAGGACUUUAUUGUUUUAUUCAAGUUAAAGUAUAGGGUUUCCCCAGAUUGAAAACCAGAAUAGCCCAUGACCAUUCCCUGUGGGAUUCUGUAACUAUUAAGGCAAAAGAAAAUGCAGUUGCACUUAUGAGUAUAUGGAUAAAAUAACGUGAAGUGAAAAGGGGAGAGAUUUUUUUUAAAGAUGUCUAUAUUUUAACUCCUCCUGACUAGUAAAUUCAAGGAUACCAGGACAAAUGAGGUAUAGACUUUAAACCUUCCAACAUUCCAUUGUGUUAAUCAUUCUUCCUCAUCAAAGAGGCAGUAAGGGAUAAUUUAGAGUGACUACAGUUACAAAUAAUGUGCUAUGUAAGCACCCAAGAGCAGAGAUAAGGGUGGAAUUAAGGGUGUUAAAGAAAAUACGGCCUCCCUUCUUUGUUUGCCAUUCGAUUGUUUUUGCUGUCCCUGGAGACUCAUAUCUCUCUAUUCCUAGGACCAGAGUUUACACAAGUGCCAAAUACAUGAACAAGAACACCCCAUUAAAAUUCCUGUGAAACAUUAUACAUCUUAAGAAAGCAGAUGUGUCUAUGGGCUGUCACAAAUACCAGUCUUGCUACGUUAAGCAAGUAAUUAGUGGAGACAUACUAUUUAGGAUUCGCCUAAAACCCUCCAAGAUAGAGGUCCCCAAUCCCGGCCCCUGACCAGCCACACCAGCAGGCGGUGAGCAGUAGGCCAGUGAACAUCAUACCUGAGCUCAGCCUCCUGUCAGAUCAGUGGCCACAUUAGAUUAUCAUAGGUGUGAGAACCCAAUUGUGAACUGCACAUGUGUGGCAUCUAGGUUGUGCUCUCCUUGUGAGAAUCUAACGCCUGAUAAUCUGAGGUGGAAGAGUCUCAUACCGAAACCAUCCCUUGCCCUGUCCGUUGAAAAAUUGUCUUCCACAAAAUGGGUCCCUGGUGCCAAAAAGGUUGGGAACCACUGCUCUAAGGUGUCCAGUGUUGCCUAACCCCUCUCCCUACUAUGCACCCAUUAGUUUGCUGAUUGAUUUCUGUUUAAAUAGCCACAGUAUAUUGGGGCCGUUUAUUGCAUCUUCGGUCAGCUCUUUUCCUCUGGGUCCCUAGAACUGAAGACAAUAUCCUAAGUUGAUUCUGUCUCACAAAACAUGAGUAAAAUGAGGAAUUGGUUAGGUAGGUGGCAAACAGCAAAGAUUAUUUGGACUUGUAGCUUGCUCCUUAAGUAGACUUUAACCAAGUAAGCUAUUUGAGAAACAACCUUAAUUUUUUUCAAGUGUUAUUUUUAAUUCUACAGGAAUAUUUUCAUAAAGUCAUAAUGUCCAUUGUGUUAGCAACUAGAAUUACAAUGGCAGGUUUUAGGAGAUACUUGAAACGUGAGAUGUUACAUUUAAAACUAUAAAAUUACCGACGUAAGUAUAUGAUUGUACCCAUGUGGCAGUAAACUUAAAACUUCUAGUUUUUCAGGUUUUUUUGUUGUUUGACUUUAAAGAGUUUAAAAGGGGAAAAGGAGAGGAAUAUGUGAGGGAGACUGGCUUGCAAAGUCUAAAGUAUUUAUGUGGCCCUAUAUAGAAAAAGGUUGUGUAUUCUGGACAAGAGCAAUUAAAGGAAAUAGUUUGGACUUAAGACUUCUAAAAAUAAAUAGUGCUCAAAUUGCACUUGGAAGCCAGAGACCUUGCUAGUCAUCAAAGGUCCAGUUCAGUCAGUACUUAGAAAAGAGGGAAGCCAGCUUAGCUAAGAGUCAGAAUACAAAUAUUCAGAAACGAUUAAUAGGCAAAUAAUUAUAUAUACCAUGUCCCAGCCAGUAGAUGGAAUAAUAUGCCACCAUUAAAUUUAUAUUAACAUGUAAAAAUAUUUGGAGUUUAGGGCUCUUACCCAUAUCUUAGUGACAUAGAAAGAAAAGAUAAAUCACACGCAACCAGAAAAUAGACAUGUUGACUUUAUUUUAGUACAUAAUCUGGUAGGAUUUUUACAUAAUCUCACGUACUGGUGCUAGGUAGUUGGUUGUGCCAACUAGAAGUGUCACAUAGUUAAUAUCCUUAAAGAGAAAUGGAAGCUAAUCAGGUAAGUAAACUGUGAGCUGAGGCCUACGUCAGGCUUGCUAUUCAAAGAGAGUAAAGUAAUUGGAUAAAUGUUAAUGCCUCCUUGUUGGGAAAACAGUCUUCAAAAAUGGCACCAAGUUACAGUUCUAAUGCAAUGGAGUCACUAAUUACUAUGAAUACUUUUUUUACUUGGCGGAUUACUAAUAAAGGCAACUGGAUACAAUAAAUGUAAAGAUUUUCUUUUAAAACGACAGACUCUUCAGUGAGGCAUAAACAUUUUAUAGAACAAUUAUCAAAGCUAUAUUGGACUUAAAUAUUGGUCAUGAAUGUAUGCACACCCCAUAGGUAGCUGCCCUCCUUGGGCAGCUUUUGACUCCUAUGCCAAAAUUUAAAAUAAAGCGUGUUUAAUCACAUUCCCCAAAAGGAGAACUUCAUGAGGCACUAAUGAGUAAUGUUUAUUUUAUGAAUGAUUUUACAGAAGAAAUUACAGAGGACGUUUAAAUUGCAAAAGUACUCCCUUUUUUUCCCCCCAACAAAAUCCUUUGCAGUUAUCACCUAAGCUUUUUGGUUGUGUGAUUUAAGAGAAAAAAAAAAGACCUACCUUAACAAUUUAAGUAGGCAGUAUUGUUUCUCCUCAGCUUUUGUUUCUCACUGUCAGCUGCCUAGUCUUUGUAAUUCUUCUUAUGCAGAACAACUUAGCAUUUGAAGCCACUAUCACAAAAAAAAAAGAAGAAAAGAAAACAAAUAUAGCAGUUGAGGGCAGUAUACAAGCUUAGCAAGUAUAUUCUGAUACUUGCUUAGGAAGUAGGAAAUGUGAUCAGAUUCUGUUCUUUACCAUAUGACACUGAUUUGCAAGGUCCCACUGGGUACAGGACUACUGGUAAAAAGAACCCUGUAACUUCGUGUCACAGAGGGACACAGCCAUAUAUAUAAAACAGCAUCUGCCUUAAAUCUUUGGGGAACAUCUUACUAUAUUUAACCGGCUAAUUUUACUAGGUAUUCAGGAAAGUGUGACUACAGUUCAGGGUCUUUGUUUUUUCUUUUAAGACAAGGUCUCGUUUUGUUGCUCAGGCUGGAGUACAGUGGCAUGAUAAAGGCUCAUUGCAGCCUCAACAUCCCUGGGCUCCAGCGAUUCUUCCACCUUGGCUACCCAAAACUGGGAUUAUGGGUGUGAGCCACCACACCUGGCCUCUUAUAUCUUGAUUAGGGUCCUGUCUGUCUGGGCCUGCAGAGGUUUAAUUUGCUUAAUCCCAGCACUUUUCCCUCAACAUGGAGGUCCUUAGUCAACAUUAACCAAGGUAAUAAAGAGUUGAAAGUUUUAAUCAUAAGUAGGUGGAGGAGCAUUUAAACUGGUUUAAUAAACUUGAAAUACGAAUACGUUAAAUAUUCAAAUAACAAAGCACUUGUGAAACAGGUUUUUCUAUGGAAAGACAAUUUUCCAUCCAGCACAUUUCAUUUGGCUGGAUUCCUUUUUUUUUUUUUUUUUGUAAUAAAUAGAACUUUGAAAAUUCCAAAUCAAAUUUGCACUUUUGCAUAAAAGGUUCACUUGGUGACUCUCAUGCCUCCAUAAGUAUCUUCCAUCUGAUUCUACACAACCUAUUGCCUUCAGUGUAUCCUGGGACCAGCCAAAGAGAUGAUUCCAACCAGUGGAAUCAUCAUUAAACCAGUGGUUCUUAAAAUAUGGACAUUGAGUCAAUCUGCCUCAGAAUUACUGUAGAUUCUGGACAAUGUACCAAGUCAACAUCAAAUCAGUCCUACAUUUUGAAAAGGUAACUGUAAUGAAAAGAUGUUUUGAGAUGCUGAAAUUGCAGUGAAGACAGUGUUCCCACCUUUUUUAAAUGGUGUAAUGUUAGCCUCAUUUAUGUAUGGAGCAGAUUAGUAUUUUAAUUUUUAAAAGCCUUUUAGGAAUGCAGAUGUUAACAUGAACAGUGAUAAAGGGGGGCAUAUUUGAGCAAUGAUUUUUAAAGAGCUUUGAAUUUACAGUGCAAUCCUAGCAAGAGAGGGAGAAAAGAACAUCUAUUUUGAGCUGCAGACAUAAUUGCACCACAGCCGAGAUUUCAUAGUCCCCGUCCUCUCUAUUCCUGUUGAAUUACAUGAUUAAAGGUAACUAUAUAUAUAUAUGAAGAUGUUUAAUUGUUGGAGGUAGGAGAAUUUGUGGGGGGGGGGGGCUGAGAAUUCACCUGGCCAGUGAGUUAAAAAUGAGAAAAGGAUUAGCAAUUAUCAAAAUUUCUAAGUAGUUAAGUAUCUGCAUGGUGGGUUCAGUAUAAACAAACAUGGUACUCUCAAAUGACUGUUGAUGGGCUAUUACAUUAGCAUCCUGUGAACCCUAGUCAUAGCUGGAAAGGAGUCUUUAGAGAAAUGGAAAAACCAGGUUCUUUGUGCAGAAGGAAUAUAUCUUUUAAACACCCCCAAAGUAUAGAUUAAGACGUGAUUGAUGAAAAGUCUCCAUUUUCUGAUGAUGAUUUUAUGAAACCAAAGUAUAACUAAGAACCAACCAUCUGAGCGCCAGUAGAGAGUGGAAAAUAGGGAAAGGCAACAUCUCAGUAUGAUUUCUGGAGUGAGCAGUCGUUCUUACUGGCUAGGACCAUAAGCUUCAUUUGUUAAAAGUUCCCAGAAAUUAAGCCUGAAUGAGCUUAGAGCUUAAUAAGAGUUACUUCCAGAGAUGCUUCUUUCUUCCCUCAAAUAUACAGAUUAACUAUUUUUGUGCCGUGGGCCUUUUGACAGCCCCAAAAAGCCCGUGGAUCCCAUCUCAAUGUUUUACAUGUGUAUUACAUAAUGCUCACACAUUCUAAAUUUUAUCUACGGACUCCUAGUUAGAAAUCCCUUGUAAGGGGUGUUAGAGUUCUGAGAGAAGGCUGGUAAGUAAUGAGGCUGGUAACUUAUUUCAGCACCCUGUUCAGGACGGGAAUAUGUUGUGUUUCAGUUAUUCUAGUUUCCAGCUCAAUUGGUGUUGGAGAAACUAGCUCACUUAUAAGUGACUCGGAUGAAAACCCACGGGGAGGCAUGUUUCUUUAGUAAGAAACCCUGAGAGCCCCCUUUGAAGUCAAUCUGACUAAUUAAGAGAAAGAGGUUAUAUGUAUCUGUUUUACCUUCUGUGGAUGUGAUAUAUUAUUGGCAUCUCGUUCUGCACAGUCCAAAUAAGGUAGACAAGAUAAUGAUUGGUAUAUAACCAUGGAUACCGAAGAUCCACUGCAAGGCCUGCCGAUCACUUUACACAGAAGGAGCCCCUUCCCUGAGGUUUGCUUUCUCGGGGUGUGGUGGUACUUUGCCCUAGUAAACUACCAAGCAAGUCCGAACGUAAGCUCCUCCUCUGGAAGAGCGAGUUGUGGGCGGCUGCGCUGCGGGGGCAAACUCGCCGCAUGCCCGCUGGCCAGAGCGAGUCGGGGCCUGGCGUUAGGGCAUCCAGACUGGCGGGCAUGGUACAGGGCGUAUCCCUAGCCGCCUUCUGCGUCAUAUGGGGCGCCGCCCUCCAGCCUAGGAGAGACGGCCGCUAGGAGGGACAGAGGGGCCUUAUCUGCCCGGGUCUUAAUACCCCGGGCGGGGUCGGAAAGCGGGUUACAGAAGAGCGCCCAGUAAACUGCAGGGAUGCGACUCGUCUCCAGGGACCGGAAACCCCCAGGGCCGCGCUAACCGGCAACAAACCAUAAUCCGAUCCUGUCUUCGGGAUCAGAAGAGAGGACAGCUGGCCCGCGCGCAAGCUCAGUCCCUCCUCCGCAGCCUACAGGAGGAGCCUCAGAAACGCACUUCCGCCGCGCGGGCCUACCUCCACGCAGGGCGCUUUCUAGGCCAGCUCACUUCCGCCCAGCGCUUUCUGCGGCUGGGGGAGUCGGGGCUUUCCUUUUCUCCUAUUCUUGCCCUUGCUCUUGACUGCCCGUUUCCGUUUAACCCUUUUCUCCUCUCUUGGCCUCCAAAAAAGCAGUCGGCUGCCACUCUCGACUUUUUUGCCUGGGACACCGUCAGCUCACACUCCAAGCCCAGCGCAGCGGCCAUCUUCGGCUGAAUUGUGAACUUGGGUUUGGUUUCUUUCUGCAAUCCCUACAGGGCCAUAAAUUCUUGGCCCUUCAGACUGUUUCUCGUUGGCCCGUAACAGACUCAGUGAUACCAUCAGUAACCACAAUUCACAGUGGAGUCAAAUUAUCUUAUUCCCACACCAGUUGGAGAACUGGAGAUUCCUUAGAACUUUAACUGUCAUGUUUUCAAAGUUGACAUGGAAAAUUUUACAUGAAGCUUAAAAAUACAACUAAUCUGUGGUGAUAGAGAUGAGAAGAGUUAAGCUCUAAAAUUAGAAGAGCAGUUCGUUUUGAGGCAGCACUGAUUGGGAGGGAGCAUGGAGUAUAUAACUAUACAUUUCUAUAUAAUGUAAAAAUUUAUAGGUUUAAGAUUUAUGCAUUUUAUGUAAAUUAUACUACAAUAAAAUGAAAAUGAAAGAAGACAAAGAUCAUAUAUAGUUCAAUCAAAUAUUGUGUACAAAGUAAUUUCUGUUAAACAUAUUUUUAUGUGUAUAUGUACCUUUUACAUGUAUAUGUUAAGGAUAUGCAUUAAAAUGGUAAUAACUUCCUCUGCCUAUUGGGAUAAUGGAGAGUUUUGUUACUUUUUGUCUUUUUUUAAAAAAAAAAACAUGUUCUGCAAUGAUAAUGUAUUGCUUUUGUAAUUAUGAAAAACAAAAGUUAUUUUGUAAAUCUUUGUUACUGAUAAGAGAUGGGUAUUCUAUUAACUACUCAAUUCUCAUGUAGGAAAACAAAAUACAUAAUGUGUAUUUGAUAAAUCGAGAAACAGAAGCAUUACUUAGAAAUCUGAGUUACCUCUAAAAUAAUGACUGGCAUUUGAAGUUGAGGAUGGGUCUUGAGUUCCUUUGAUUUUAAGCUCUUGGAUAUGAGGGUUGGGUGAGUUCCUUUUUCUCUUUCAAAAUAUAUGUAUGUUUAACUUUGCUAAAUAAAAGUUAAAAGAUACAGUGUA